UACGUAGGGUGCAAGCGUUAAUCGGAAUUACUGGGCGUAAAGCGUGCGCAGGCGGUUAUGCAAGACAGAUGUGAAAUCCCCGGGCUCAACCUGGGAACUGCAUUUGUGACUGCAUGGCUAGAGUACGGUAGAGGGGGAUGGAAUUCCGCGUGUAGCAGUGAAAUGCGUAGAUAUGCGGAGGAACACCGAUGGCGAAGGCAAUCCCCUGGACCUGUACUGACGCUCAUGCACGAAAGCGUGGGGAGCAAAC
rnacentral:rRNA from 2 species